CCCUUAGAUGUUCUGGGCCGCACACGCGCUACACUGAAGGAGGCAGCGUGUACUCCUGGAUCGAAAGAUUUGGGUAACCCGCGAAUCUCCUUCGUGCUAGGGAUUGAGGUUUGCAAUUAUCCUUCAUGAAUGAGGAAUUCCCAGUAAGUGCAAGUCAUAAGCUUGCGCUGACUACGUCCCUGCCCUUUGUACACACCGCCCGUCGCUACUACCGAUUGAAUGAUUUAGUGAGGACUUCGGACUGGGACCGAUGCGGCUUUCGGGCUGCGUCGGUAUUCUGGAAAGAUGUCCAAACUGUAUCAUUUAGAGGAAGUAAAANUCGUAACA
rnacentral:rRNA from 1 species